GAUACUAGGCCAUCAGAGAAGCACCAGGCAGGAAACAGGAUGUAAUUGACCCAGGCUGAGGCAUUGUCAUGUUGCACCUACAUGACUGGUCAAGUCUCUCUAGACCUAGUAACUAUAGCAGUGACUAGAGUAAUAAGUGAGGACAAGAUGAUGUAAAAUGGUGUACAAGAGGAGUCCAGUUCAGUAGGUAAUGAUCAGGCAGUUCUAACCUAAUCCCUGACUGUUGUCUAGUUUCAUGAUCUCACUCUGGACUGAGAGACCUCAAAAUACUAU
rnacentral:lncRNA from 10 species